rnacentral:tRNA from 2 species
GCCGCUGUAGCUCAGUGGAUCAGAGCUCCCGCCUCCUACGCGGGAUGUCGCGCGUUCGAAUCGCGCCAGCGGCACCA